rnacentral:rRNA from 1 species
GGGGAAUUUUCCGCAAUGGGCGAAAGCCUGACGGAGCAAGACCGCGUGGGGGAGGAAGGUUUUUGGAUCGUAAACCCCUUUUGUCAAGGAAGAAGCUCUGACGGUACUUGACGAAUAAGCCUCGGCUAACUCCGUGCCAGCAGCCGCGGUAAUACGGAGGAGGCAAGCGUUAUCCGGAAUGAUUGGGCGUAAAGCGUCUGUAGGUGGCCAGCUAAGUCUGCUGUUAAAGAUCACAGCUCAACUGUGGGAAGGCAGUGGAAACUGGCAAGCUAGAGGUUGGUAGGGGUAAAGGGAAUUCCCGGUGUAGCGGUGAAAUGCGUAGAUAUCGGGAAGAACACCGGUGGCGAAAGCGCUUUACUGGGCCAGACCUGACACUGAAGGACGAAAGCUAGGGGAGCGAAAGGGAUUAGAUACCCCUGUAGUCA